rnacentral:lncRNA from 1 species
GUAGAUUUUUACUUUCAUCCUUUGAGAGGUCCUUCCAGGGCCCACACUUUAAAACGUGGGUAGCAGCUCCACAACAGUAGAUAAAUUCUUCAUGUAAUGGGACUGGCUCUUCUGACACUGACCUCAUGUUUGCUUCCCCUUUCGCCGGCUCCGCGACACCCAGCAUAGCGGUGGCAAGCUGACGGCCCGACGUCUGCCUCAGCCGGGCAGAAACGAGCAGCCGGGCCGCCGCGGGAGCAGCGAGCGGAGGGCGGCGAGGCCGCUCCUUCC